rfam:Picea glauca, whole genome shotgun sequence.
GGAGAGAUGGCUGACCGGACCAAAGUGGCGGAUUGCUAAUCCCUAGUAUGGAUUAUCUGUACCGAGGGUUCGAAUCCCUCUCUCUCCG